rnacentral:rRNA from 1 species
GCAUCCUUUGCUGAGGAUACGGUUAACGGAGCGAAAGCGACGUUCAACCGCAAAAGAAGCAGAGGGGGCUUAGUGGUGGGGUGACUGCGUACCUUUUGUAUAAUGGGUCAGCGACUUAUAUUCUGUAGCAAGGUUAACCGAAUAGGGGAGCCGGAGGGAAACCGAGUCUUAACCGGGCGUUAAGUUGCAGGGUAUAGACCCGAAACCCGGUGAUCUAGCCAUGGGCAGGUUGAAGGUUGGGUAACACUAACUGGAGGACCGAACCGACUAAUGUUGAAAAAUUAGCGGAUGACCUGUGGCUGGGGGUGAAAGGCCAAUCAAACCGGGAGAUAGCUGGUUCUCCCCGAAAGCUAUUUAGGUAGCGCCUCGUGAAUUCAUCUCCGGGGGUAGAGCACUGUUUCGGCUAGGGGGCCAUCCCGGCUUACCAACCCGAUGCAAACUGCGAAUACCGGAGAAUGUUAUCACGGGAGACACACGGCGGGUGCUAACGUCCGUCGUGAAGAGGGAAACAACCCAGACCGCCAGCUAAGGUCCCAAAGUCAUGGUUAAGUGGGAAACGAUGUGGGAAGGCCCAGACAGCCAGGAUGUUGGCUUAGAAGCAGCCAUCAUUUAAAGAAAGCGUAAUAGCUCACUGGUCGAGUCGGCCUGCGCGGAAGAUGUAACGGGGCUAAACCAU